CAUUUGCAUAAAAGUAAAAAAGAGUUUAGCAUUGCCUUUGACAAGGACGGAAGAGUCACCCUUGCCUAACAACAUCCACACAUAUAAGGUAUCACCAGCCACUUUUGGUGACUUGGACUCAGCAAGACAUAU